UGGGCUAAAGACAUGAACAGAAGCUCCUCAGAAGAAGAUAGACCAACGGCUAACAAACAUAUGAAAAAACAUAAAUCCCUUUUUACUACUUGAGCUAUUCGCUUAUCAUGGAUUUUUCAUACGAAUAUAAAUGAAACCACAUAUUACGUGGUCUUCGGGAAUUGGCUUGUUUCGUUUAGCACAAUAUAUUCCAAGUUCAUCUAUGCUGUAGAAGUUUACUGCAAGAUCUAAUUCUUCAGUUGCAUCUUCUAGACUACGUGGAAUCAAGUGAACCAGGAAUAAUAAUGUAGAUAUCCAACAAACAAAAUCCAAGAUAACUCCAGAAAUUACCAUGGAAAAUAUUGCUAUUUAUCAACUCUACUUCACAGGACCAUUUCCCGAGUUUAGCAGGCAGAACCACUCAUCUAAAAAGCCGCAGGCUUGAAAAAAAACAAACCAAAUCCAUAGGGGCUUACCCACUUUGACGGCCAGAGAAAGACACUAGAAGAUGCCAGAAUAGUGUGUAGGAUGGUAGUGUUUGUGACAUGUGACAGUCACAAUUACACCUAAAAUUUGAAAUUUCAUGAAGAAUCAGGAUUAGAACUCUGUCCUCAUGCCUUCAGGCUUGAGCCUUGUUCUCUUGCGACAUUUAUUACUAACUUCACAUAUAAUAUAGCUGAGGAGAAUUCAAAGAAAUGGCCCUAGAAACAGCAAAAUUGCUUCCUUUUUUUUUUUUUUUAACAGAACAUACAUUAAGAAAUGGGGACAGAAAAUCAGCUUUUGUUACUUUCAGAAUCCUGGUGACAAAUUUCGGAAUGACGCAGUAACAUAAAAUACAUACUUUCUAUCUGGCUCUGCUGCCUUUGUCUCGUUUAGAAAUUUGUCCAGUAGGAACUCUUUGAUAAAACAAAUCCACUAUCAAACAGAUGGUUUCCAACUGCUCUUUUGUUCUCGAAACUGGCAAUUAUUUUGUCCCUGUGUGCUUGAGGUUUGGACAGGAAUGAUUUUUUCACAGCUAUCAAACACGACAUGAAUGAACAGGGUCCUUCAUUUGCUGGCAAUAGACAGCAAGAGAGGAAAUCUCUAUUGCUCAUAUUUCCAUGUUGUCAUAUAAAGCAGUAUUUCUUUUUAGCAGCAAGUGGUUUAUAGAUGUCGACAGCGCCCCAAAACAAACAGCCUGGCUUAUAACAACAUAGUUGGUGGUAUUUUCAAUUUGUCUUAUUCGCUGCCAGGCUUGAAGUAUUAUGCUCAUGUUUCAAGUAAGCUGUUUAGUUAAAGU